rnacentral:rRNA from 1 species
GGGCCCGCACAAGCGGUGGAGCAUGUGGUUUAAUUCGAUGAUACGCGAGGAACCUUACCAGGGCUUAAAUGCAGUUGGACAGGUCUGGAAACAGACCCUUCUUCGGACUAAUUGCAAGGUGCUGCAUGGUUGUCGUCAGCUCGUGCCGUGAGGUGUCAGGUUAAGUCCUAUAACGAGCGCAACCCCUGUGGUUAGUUGCCAGCGAGUCAUGUCGGGAACUCUAGCCAGACUGCCAGUGCAAACUGUGAGGAAGGUGGGGAUGACGUCAAAUCAUCACGGCCCUUACGUCCUGGGCCACACACGUGCUACAAUGGUAGGGACAGAGGGCAGCUACCCCGCGAGGGGAUGCGAAUCUUAAAGCUACCCUCAGUUCGGAUCGAAGUCUGAAACUCGACUUCGUGAAGUUGGAAUCGCUAGUAAAGG